GAAUGUGUAAACUGGCAUGCCGAUCAGGAAAGCCCUCAGGAGAGACACAGAGGCCUCAGAUGCUCACAUGGGAAUGCCUAGCAAGAAGCAACUUAAGGGAAGGAGGGCUUCUAUUGGCUCAUGGCGUAGGAAGGCGGAGCAACUGGAGUGGGGGCGGGUGCUGACUGAUUCCUACAGGAAGCAGAGAGAGAUAAAUGCUGUGCUCGGUUCACUUUUUCCUGUUCUGUAGUCUCACCCCAGCCCCUCGAGUGCUGCCACCUACACUCAAGGUUUCAACUAAAGCAAUGACUGAGAGAGAAAGGUGUUCCGAAUUCCACCAGCAAGGGUUUGUCUCCGACUCUGUACAAUUUUGAUUUGUUAGAAAUGUUUAAGAUAGAAAAGCCCCACCACCCCACACUGAAGAAGAGCAAAGACCAAAGUGAGAUGCUGGCUGAGAAUCCACAAAAGGCUGAACCACCCAGGCCUUGGACGAAAUGCUUAGCUCCUGGGUCAGCGUUUCUCAAACUGUGGGUCGGGAGCCCUUUGGGGGGUCGCACAUCAGAUAUUUACAUUACAAUUCGUAACAGUAGCAAAAUUACAACUACAAAGUAGCAGCGCAGUAAGUUUGU